UACAGAGGUGGCAAGCGUUGUUCGGAAUUAUUGGGCGUAAAGCGCGCGUAGGCGGCUACCUAAGUCGGAUGUGAAAGCCCCUGGCUUAACUGGGGAAGUGCACCCGAAACUGAGUAGCUAGAGUGCAAAAGAGGGUCGCGGAAUUCCCGGUGUAGAGGUGAAAUUCGUAGAUAUCGGGAGGAACACCGGUGGCGAAGGCGGCGACCUGGGUUGACACUGACGCUGAGGCGCGAAAGCGUGGGGAGCAAACAGG
rnacentral:rRNA from 1 species